rnacentral:rRNA from 1 species
GAUGAACGCUGGCGGCGUGCCUAACACAUGCAAGUCGAGCGAUUUACUUCGGUAAAGAGCGGCGGACGGGUGAGUAACGCGUGGGUAACCUGCCCUGUACACACGGAUAACAUACCGAAAGGUAUGCUAAUACGGGAUAAUAUGCUUUAUCGCAUGGUAGAAGUAUCAAAGCUUUUGCGGUACAGGAUGGACCCGCGUCUGAUUAGCUAGUUGGUAAGGUAACGGCUUACCAAGGCGACGAUCAGUAGCCGACCUGAGAGGGUGAUCGGCCACAUUGGAACUGAGACACGGUCCAAACUCCUACGGGAGGCAGCAGUGGGGAAUAUUGCACAGUGGGCGAAAGCCUGAUGCAGCAACGCCGCGUGAGCGAUGAAGGCCUUCGGGUCGUAAAGCUCUGUCCUCAAGGAAGAUAAUGACGGUACUUGAGGAGGAAGCCCCGGCUAACUACGUGCCAGCAGCCGCCGUAA